rnacentral:rRNA from 1 species
GAUGAACGCUGGCGGCGUGCCUAAUACAUGCAAGUCGAACGAACGGACGAGAAGCUUGCUCCUCUGAUGUUAGCGGCGGACGGGUGAGUAACACGUGGAUAACCUACCUAUAAGACUGGGAUAACUUCGGGAGACCGGCGCUAAUACCGGGUAAUAUUUUGAACCGCAUGGUUCAAAAGUGAAAGACGGUCUUGCUGUCACUUAUAGAUGGAUCCGCGCUGCAUUGGCUAGUUGGUAAGGUAACGGCUUACCAAGGCAACGAUGCAUAGCCGACCUGAGAGGGUGAUCGGCCACACUGGAACUGAGAGACGGUCCAGACUCCUACGGGAGGCAGCAGUAGGGAAUCUUCCGCAAUGGGCGAAAGCCUGACGGAGCAACGCCGCGUGAGUGAUGAAGGUCUUCGGAUCGUAAAACUCUGUUAUUAGGGAAGAACAUAUGUGUAAGUAACUGUGCACAUCUUGACGGUACCUAAUGAGAAAGCCACGGCUAACUACGUG